rnacentral:rRNA from 1 species
AUUGAACGCUGGCGGCAGGCCUAACACAUGCAAGUCGAGCGGAUGAAGGGAGCUUGCUCCUGGAUUCAGCGGCGGACGGGUGAGUAAGGCCUAGGAAUCGGCCUGGUAGUGGGGGAUAACGUCGGGAAACGGGCGCUAAUACCGCAUACGUCCUGAGGGAGAAAGUGGGGGAUCUUCGGACCUCACGCUAUCAGAUGAGCCUAGGUCGGAUUAGCUAGUUGGUGGGGUAAAGGCCUACCAAGGCGACGAUCCGUAACUGGUCUGAGAGGAUGAUCAGUCACACUGGAACUGAGACACGGUCCAGACUCCUACGGGAGGCAGCAGUGGGGAAUAUUGGACAAUGGGCGAAAGCCUAAUCCAGCCAUGCCGCGUGUGUGAAGAAGGUCUUCGGAUUGUAAAGCACUUUAAGUUGGGAGGAAGGGCAGUAAGUUAAUACCUUGCUGUUUUGACGUUACCAACAGAAUAAGCACCGGCUAACUUCGUG